rnacentral:rRNA from 1 species
GACGAACGCUGGCGGCGUGCUUAACACAUGCAAGUCGUACGGUAAGGCCCUUUCGGGGGUACACGAGUGGCGAACGGGUGAGUAACACGUGCGUAACCUGCCCACAACUUUGGGAUAACGCUAGGAAACUGGUGCUAAUACUGGAUAUGUGCCCCUGCUGCAUGGUGGGUGUUGGAAAGCUCCGGGGGUUGUGGAUGGACUCGCGGCCUAUCAGCUUGUUGGUGGGGUAGUGGCCUACCAAGGCGGCGACGGGCCGCCGGCCUGACGGGGUGACCGGCCACAAUGGGGCUGAGAGACGGCCCAGACUCCUACGGGGGGCAGCAGGGGGGAAUAUUGCACAAUGGGGGCAAGCCUGGUGCAGCAACGCCGCGGGCGGGAUGACGGGCUUCGGGUUGUAAACCGGUUUCAGCAGGGAAGAAGCUGUUUGUGACGGUACCUGCAGAAGAAGCACCGGCUAACUACGUG